rnacentral:rRNA from 1 species
AACGAACGCUGGCGGCAUGCCUAACACAUGCAAGUCGAACGAAGCCUUCGGGCUUAGUGGCGCACGGGUGCGUAACACGUGGGAAUCUGCCCUUCGGUUCGGAAUAACAGUUAGAAAUGACUGCUAAUACCGGAUGAUGACGUAAGUCCAAAGAUUUAUCGCCGAAGGAUGAGCCCGCGUAGGAUUAGGUAGUUGGUAGGGUAAUGGCCUACCAAGCCGACGAUCCUUAGCUGGUCCGAGAGGAUGAUCAGCCACACUGGGACUGAGACACGGCCCAGACUCCUACGGGAGGCAGCAGUGGGGAAUAUUGGACAAUGGGCGAAAGCCUGAUCCAGCAAUGCCGCGUGAGUGAUGAAGGCCUUAGGGUUGUAAAGCUCUUUUACCAGGGAUGAUAAUGACAGUACCUGGAGAAUAAGCUCCGGCUAACUCCGUGCCAGCAGCCGCGGUAAU